UAGAGUUUGAUCCUGGCUCAGAUUGAACGCUGGCGGCAGGCCUAACACAUGCAAGUCGAGCGGUAACACAGAGGAGCUUGCUCCUUGGGUGACGAGCGGCGGACGGGUGAGUAAUGCCUGGGGAUCUGCCCGAUAGAGGGGGAUAACUACGGGAAACUGUAGCUAAUACCGCAUAAUGUCUACGGACCAAAGUGGGGGCUCUUCGGACCUCAUGCUAUCGGAUGAACCCAGGUGGGAUUAGCUAGUUGGUGAGGUAAUGGCUUACCAAGGCGACGAUCUCUAACUGGUUUGAGAGAAUGACCAGUCACACUGGAACUGAGACACGGUCCAGACUCCUACGGGAGGCAGCAGUGGGGAAUAUUGCACAAUGGGCGCAAGCCUGAUGCAGCCAUGCCGCGUGUGUGAAGAAGGCCUUCGGGUUGUAAAGCACUUUCAGCGGGGAGGAAGGGUCACUAGUUAAUAUCUAGUGGCAUUGACGUUACUCGCAGAAGGAGCACCGGCUAACUCCGUGCCAGCAGCCGCGGUAAUACGGAGGGUGCAAGCGUUAAUCGGAAUUACUGGGCGUAAAGCGCACGCAGGCGGUUUGUUAAGUCAGAUGUGAAAUCCCCGAGCUCAACUUGGGAACUGCAUUUGAAACUGUCCAGCUAGAGUCUUGUAGAGGGGGGUAGAAUUCCAGGUGUAGCGGUGAAAUGCGUAGAGAUCUGGAGGAAUACCGGUGGCGAAGGCGGCCCCCUGGACAAAGACUGACGCUCAGGUGCGAAAGCGUGGGGAGCAAACAGGAUAAGAUACCCUGGUAGUCCACGCUGUAAAC
rnacentral:rRNA from 1 species